rnacentral:rRNA from 1 species
UACGGAGGGGGCGAGCGUUAUUCGGAAUUAUUGGGCGUAAAGGGCGCGUAGGCGGCUUGAUAAGUCAAAGGUGAAAUCCCUCGGCUCAACUGAGGAACUGCCUUUGAAACUGUCAGACUUGAGGCCGGGAGGGGGUAGCGGAAUUCCCAGUGUAGCGGUGAAAUGCGUAGAUAUUGGGAGGAACACCGGUGGCGAAGGCGGCUACCUGGACCGGUUCUGACGCUGAUGCGCGAAAGCGUGGGUAGCAAACAGG